UGACAACAAAUCUACAACGCCUGCAGCUCAGCCUGACCGCCCGCAUGCCGGAUAGGGAACCGGUACACCAGAGCAGAGGAUGGACUGUCCACUGUGACACGCACUGGGAAUUGGCUGAAAGCAGCAAUCAAAGCCCUUCCACGCACCCCUCCUGUUGCCAGGCAAACGGAAUUAUGUAAACCUCAUGGGCACACUGGCCGUCCUUACCAAGCUAGUGACUUAUAUACUAGAUCACAGCCUGCUUAAUCUCACUCAAAUGAACCAUAGCAUAGCCUGUAUGAAAAUAACCGACAAUUGAAUAGUUACUAUGCCCUAGUUUGAAAUAACAGCCAGUAACGUGUAUUUAUACCUCUUAAUGUGUGUUUAUACCACUUACACUGUUGUAA